GAUGAACGCUAGCGAUAGGCUUAACACAUGCAAGUCGAGGGGCAGCAUGGUCUUAGCUUGCUAAGACUGAUGGCGACCGGCGCACGGGUGCGUAACGCGUAUGCAACUUGCCUCACAGAGGGGGAUAACCCGUCGAAAGACGGACUAAUACCGCGUACACUCCAUCUUGGGCAUCCAAGGUAGAGGAACUGAAAUUCGCUGUGAGAUAGGCAUGCGUCCCAUUAGCUAGUUGGUGAGGUAACGGCUCACCAAGGCGACGAUGGGUAGGGGAACUGAGAGGUUGAACCCCCACACUGGUACUGAGACACGGACCAGACUCCUACGGGAGGCAGCAGUGAGGAAUAUUGGUCAAUGGGCGAGAGCCUGAACCAGCCAAGUCGCGUGAAGGAUGACUGUCUUAUGGAUUGUAAACUUCUUUUAUACGGGAAUAACAAGAGUCACGGGUGACUCCCUGCAUGUACCGUAUGAAUAAGCAUCGGCUAACUCCGUG
rnacentral:rRNA from 1 species